rnacentral:lncRNA from 1 species
GAGCUUUGACAAUAAGGGCUGGACAGUGGCCCUGCUGUGAGAAGAGAGAAAAGGAACGGGGCUGAGGGAAGGACGAGAGACAAGAUCCAGAGGGUGCUGCUCCCUUGGGAACCGAGUAAGGAGUAGAGAAGGCUUUGCACCUAGGAAGCUGGCUCCAGGAUCCAUGUGCUUAGCACUGAGCUGUCUCCCAAACUGUUGAUAGAGAAGGCGAGGGAAGGAUAUUGUCUUGGUGCCUGUGAAUUCCAGAUCUGAAGGCGAUGCUAUUGGAUCUGGGUCUUUCCUCAUCAGCCCACUCCUGGAAAUGGUGGGCAGCUGGAGCCAAGAUGACAAAGGGGAAGAUUAGAGGCAACUGAGACCUAAGUCCUGGACCUGGAAGGUGAAAAGGAUGGAGCUGGGCGUGGCUCAGUUCAAGCCUGGCCCCCCGGGACGUCAGAGCGUGUGAGCCCAGGCUACUUAUGGCCUUCUCUGGACUCAGGGAUCGUGUGGCUGCAGACUGAGGAAGUGGUCAGCAGAUGACGUCGCAAGUCAGAAAGGACUGAAACGUCAAGACCGUUCCGGCCUAAGAGGCAGAGAAGAGGGCAGGCGAGUGUGGCAAAGGCGAAAUUUUUAAUGGAGUCAGCAGUACAGAUGAUCCCGCUCCUCUGAACCCCAGAGCCGCGCAUCCAGCUGUCAACUUGCCAUCCUCACUGUGUCAAAGGCAAGAGGAUGAUAUCCUACGAGGGUCUCAUGAUCACCUUCUAAAGGAAAGGAUGUUUUAACACGCAAGCGUGGGAAGGACUUUGUGGGUGAUAGCCACGCAUUCAACAAAAGCCACCGCUGGACUCCAGUUCCCAGCCUUGCAGUUGGAUGGACCGUGGGGAUGUGGCGGAAGUGAGGCUCACCUCUUGCUGUCCUGGCCCACAAAAGCCUCCCACAAUCCUCCUCUCUUUUGUUCCCCAGCCUCCCCACACAGCUGGCUUGACCUUGCUCACAGCAUGGCAGUGUCGGAACAGCCAGACUCAGGACAUGGCAGCUGGUUUCCCCUAGAGGACCAUUCGAGGAGAGGAUGCUGCUACUUCUUUAAAGCCUUGGGCGCACCGGAAAAGAGGAAAUUGGAGAAGGCUUUGGAGAAGGACGUGGAAAAAGCCCUGCGUGUGUGAAGCUCUUUUCUCCGUGCCCGGAGGAAAUGCGAAAGGGGACCGUGUGAACAUCUGUGGGAGCUACUGAGAGGCUCAGGAUUAGCGUCAAUGCCUGUUAUGACAUUCUGCCUUUCAGCUCAAUAAAAUGAUUUUUUGUGAGGC